rnacentral:rRNA from 1 species
GUACUUGCACUUUUUGGACGUCGACCGGCGCACGGGUGAGUAACGCGUAUCCAACCUUCCCAUGACUAAGGGAUAACCUGCCGAAAGGCAGACUAAUACCUUAUGGUCUUCACUGACGGCAUCAGAUGUGAAGUAAAGAUUUAUCGGUUAUGGAUGGGGAUGCGUCUGAUUAGCUUGUUGGCGGGGUAACGGCCCACCAAGGCAACGAUCAGUAGGGGUUCUGAGAGGAAGGUCCCCCACAUUGGAACUGAGACACGGUCCAAACUCCUACGGGAGGCAGCAGUGAGGAAUAUUGGUCAAUGGGCGAGAGCCUGAACCAGCCAAGUAGCGUGCAGGAUGACGGCCCUAUGGGUUGUAAACUGCUUUUGUAUGGGGAUAAAGUCAAUCACGUGUGAUUGUUUGCAGGUACCAUACGAAUAAGGACCGGCUAAUUCCGUGCCAGCAGCCGCGGUAAUACGGAAGGUCCGGGCGUUAUCCGGAUUUAUUGGGUUUAAAGGGAGCGUAGGCUGGAGAUUAAGUGUGUUGUGAAAUGUAGACGCUCAACGUCUGACUUGCAGCGCAUACUGGUUUCCUUGAGUACGCACAACGUUGGCGGAAUUCGUCGUGUAGCGGUGAAAUGCUUAGAUAUGACG